rnacentral:rRNA from 1 species
UGGAUCCAGACUUUGAUUCUGGCUCAGGAUGAACGCUAGCUACAGGCCUAACACAUGCAAGUCGAGGGGAAACGGCAGCUUAGCUUGCUAAGCUGGACGUCGACCGGCGCACGGGUGAGUAACGCGUAUCCAACCUGCCCCACGGUGAGGGAUAACCCGCGGAAACGCGGCCUAAUACCUCAUGGUCUCCGAGUUUGCCAUCAACCUUGGAGUAAAGAUUCAUUGCCGUGGGAUGGGGAUGCGUCUGAUUAGCUUGUUGGCGGGGCAACGGCCCACCAAGGCUACGAUCAGUAGGGGUUCUGAGAGGAAAGCCCCCCACAUUGGAGCUGAGACACGGUCCAAACUCCUACGGGAGGCAGCAGUGAGGAAUAUUGGUCAAUGGGCGAGAGCCUGAACCAGCCAAGUAGCGUGCAGGAAGACGGCCCUAUGGGUUGUAAACUGCUUUUAUGCGGGGAUAAAGCGGGCGACGUGUCGCCCUUUGCAGGUACCGCAUGGAUAAGGACCGGCUAAUUCCGUGCCAGCAGCCGCGGUAAUACGGAAGGUCCGGGCGUUACCCGGAUUUAUUGGGUUUAAAGGGAGCGCAGGCCGGGUAUUAAGCGUGUUGUGAAAUGUAGGCGCCCAACGUCUGCACCGCAGCGCGAACUGGUGCCCUGAGUACGCACGACGUUGGCGGAAUUCGCCGUGUAGCGGUGAAAUGCUUAGAUAUGGCGAAGAACUCCGAUUGCGAAGGCAGCUGACGGGAGCGCUACUGACGCUCAUGCUCGAAAGUGCGGGUAUCGAACAGGAUUAGAUACCCUGGUAGUCCGCACGGUAAACGAUGGAUGCCCGCUGUUGGCUUGAAUUAGUCAGCGGCCAAGCGAAAGCAUUAAGCAUCCCACCUGGGGAGUACGCCGGCAACGGUGCAACUCAAAUGAAUUGACGGA